rnacentral:rRNA from 1 species
GUGAACGCUGGCGGUAGGCCUAACACAUGCAAGUCGAACGGCAGCACAGGAGAGCUUGCUCUCUGGGUGGCGAGUGGCGGACGGGUGAGGAAUACAUCGGAAUCUACCUUUUCGUGGGGGAUAACGUAGGGAAACUUACGCUAAUACCGCAUACGACCUACGGGUGAAAGUGGGGGACCGCAAGGCCUCACGCGAUUAGAUGAGCCGAUGUCCGAUUAGCUAGUUGGCGGGGUAAUGGCCCACCAAGGCGACGAUCGGUAGCUGGUCUGAGAGGAUGAUCAGCCACACUGGAACUGAGACACGGUCCAGACUCCUACGGGAGGCAGCAGUGGGGAAUAUUGGACAAUGGGCGCAAGCCUGAUCCAGCCAUACCGCGUGGGUGAAGAAGGCCUUCGGGUUGUAAAGCCCUUUUGUUGGGAAAGAAAUCCUGUCGAUUAAUACUCGGUGGGGAUGACGGUACCCAAAGAAUAAGCACCGGCUAACUUCGUG